CAGCUUGUCUGGCUCAAGAAUAACAUGG
rnacentral:piRNA from 1 species